rnacentral:sRNA from 1 species
AAACGCUAAUGCGAGUUAGCGCUGUAUGACCUGUUUGAUAGUUUUACCGUGAGUCACCCCUAGUUAAAGAAGCGAGUCCGUGUCACAUGGCACACAGGUUUACAGAGAGUUUUUUGAGGUUUUCAUGUCUAAAGUAACUGGUACCGUUAAGUGGUUUAAUGCUGAAAAAGGUUAUGGCUUUUUAACGCAGGACGACGGCGGUAAAGACGUAUUUGUUCAUUUUCGUGCGAUCAUGUCUGAUGGGUACAAAACCCUGGUAGAAGGUCAGAAAGUUCAAUUUGAAGUUGAACAAGGACAAAAAGGUCUGCAGGCGGCUAACGUACAAGCCAUCUAAAUAAUUUGUGAGGCCCCUGCCAUCUGGUAGGGGCCUUAUC